rnacentral:lncRNA from 1 species
GGUUCGUGUUGUUUAUUCUUUAGUUUUCUAUGUUGUGUCAUGUUUACUAUUGUUUUUCUGUUUGUCUUUUUCAUUUUUAGCCAUGGCGUUGUCAGUUUGUUUUAGAUUUAUGAGUUUGACUGUCCCUUUGGUAUCUUUCGUCCCUCUUUUAUAAAAUAUUGUAUUCUUAGAGCAAUGAUUAGUUUUAUCACUGUUUUUGAGAUUUAAUUCACAAAUUGAACUUUUAGAUUUCCCGAUCAACCAAAUAGAACGUGGUCUGUAUGCACAACAUUUAAUAUCAG